GGACUACUGGGGUAUCUAAUCCUGUUUGAUCCCCACGCUGUCGCGCCUGAGCGUCAGAAACGGGCCAGUGAGCCGCCUUCGCCACCGGUGUUCUUCCCAAUAUCUACGAAUUUCACCUCUACACUGGGAAUUCCACUCACCUCUCCCGUACUCGAGCCUGACAGUUUCAAAGGCAAUUCCGGAGUUGAGCUCCGGGCUUUCACCCCUGACUUGAAAGGCCGCCUGCGCGCGCUUUACGCCCAGUAAUUCCGAACAACGCUAGCCCCCUUCGUAUUACCGCGGCGGCUGGCAC
rnacentral:rRNA from 1 species